ensembl:lncRNA
CCUAAGCAUGUCUUUGGGCUGGAUGUGCCAGAAGAGCAAGUCGGUCUAUGGCAGCACCUUAUAGAUGUGCAGGAAUCUGUUCCCGUUCUCGGGUGAAACUAUGCCCUCCAGCCCGCAGCCGCCGCAAAGGAGAGGGUACCAUGUGGUCCCCAGCACCUCCCAGCCAAGCCCUGAUUUUAAGCAGAUGGGCUAGAGCAAGCAGGAGAACAACCGCAGUACCCUAGGGCAGAAGGUUGCCCUGUCAAAAUGCAGAGCUGGACAGGAUCCGGUGUCAGCAAGGGCCUAAGACCUCCUUGGGAGCAAAGCUCCCAGGGCAUCGGGCUCUUGGAUCCGAGGCUGGAGCACAGCUGCCUGUCCUGCUUGUUCCAGUGCUCACAAAGGUGCUCGCUGAAGAGUCUUCUGCCUCCUUCCGACUUCCAGGGAGUCCUGCAGAGCGCCUCCUUUCUCGAGAAAGGCUUUCUGCGCCCACGUUCUCUGGGGCCAGCUGGAAGGGAGGAAAAGAACGGAAGGCCAGGGCAAACAAGCCACCUGCCAGCCUGCUGCCAACAAUUCAGGAGAGCUUCUCUAAGGCAGAAGAGGACGGCAAGCAGGAAGAAGCUCCUCGAGCAAGACCUCAAACUGCAGUUCCUGUUUGCAGACAUCAGAACAGGGCAGAACAGGCUUGGCGGCAUCAGGAAACACUGCCGGAGGUUCGGCCAGCYUCACCAGUGCCCCGCCUGGGAAAGAGGAGAGCACUGCGGCCGUCCUGCACAGAGCAGAGCAGAAGAAGAGCAMGCCAGAGAGGCUGCCGAGGCUGCACAGGAGAGCAAGUGUGCACCAGUGCUGGCCCCGGCCUGGAAAACUGGAGUGGCAGCACCUGUCCGAGGUGUGAGGAAGCCCAGUGCCUGAGCUCUGGGGCUGGGUACRGCGUUGCCUGAUUUCUCUUGACAUGGGAAUGACCUGGGCUAGCCCUUGGUGCCAGGGAGCAAGAUAUAUCUCUGUGUCAUGCCGCAUGGGGAGGGGGCACAGUCUUGGAGAACUUCCUGUGGGGAUGCGGAUGCCCCCAGCCCAAGAAGGGGGGGUGAGUUGAUGGCCUCAUACAGCUCCUGGGGUGGGCAGGGGCUCCGCGUUCCUCCCCUACGCGACUGGUGUCCUACCCCCUCAUCAACCCCGGGGGGGGCCUAGUCUCCCUGGCCCUCCCCAUCUUCGCUGGAGAUGAGGCUGUUUCCGGGUGGUGAAAGCGGAGGACAGCCCCCAUGAGGGGAUGAAAUGAUGGACGAAAUGAUCUAACUCCCCUUGGAGCUGCUGCUCACAACCAGUCUUAACCCUUGGCCCUUCUCCCACCAUGUUCUUCCAGCACUCUUUGGGGCAGGCUGAGCCAUAAAUGUACUAAAAAUCCCAGGAAGUCCCCAGACAUGAGGUUUUCUCCCCAAACCAGGCAGAGGCAGAGAGACUAGAGGAGGCAAGAGGCCUCAGAAGUAACACAAAUCCCAUCAGAUCACACGGAGAGAGGGCAGAAAAGGGUGGGUGGGCGGUGGGGGUGAAAAGUGCCCCGCAUGCACUCUGAGGGGUGAAAACCAGGGGGCCUUUGGAUGAAAACCAAGGAUUAAAGAUAAACUUCACUGCCAACAAAACCCCUGGAGACCCAAGCUUCAAGGACAAGACCCCAAACCCUCCGAGCCCCUCAAGGUGAAGGGGAUGGAGGCAGAGCAAGGUCGGGGGCACCCCCAGGCAUCAUCCCCCCCUCCCUGGGGCACCUCACCGGGAGACACCAAGAUGAUGGGAGCCAAUGGCUCUGGCCUCCUAACAACCCUGACAGAGGUGCAAGAGGCCCCACAGAGCUGCUGUGAAGGUGCUGGAGGUGUGCAAAGCCAGCCCCAAAGCCCCACUCCUGGGCCAGAGACACAGA